rnacentral:rRNA from 1 species
GAUGAACGCUGGCGGCGUGCUUAACACAUGCAAGUCGAACGGAGUGUCGAACGGGUGUGUAACACGUGUGUGAUCUUCCUUGCACUUCGGGAUUAGCUUGGGGAACUGUGUGCAAAACCGGAUUGUGCAUGAUGGGCUCGCGGCCUAUCAGCUUGUUGGUGGGGUAAUGGCCAACCAAGGCGUCGACGGGUAGCCGGCCUGAGAGGGUGUACGGCCACAUUGGGACUGAGAUACGGCCCAGACUCCUACGGGAGGCAGCAGUGGGGAAUAUUGCACAAUGGGCGGAAGCCUGAUGCAGCGACGCCGCGUGGGGGAUGAAGGCCUUCGGGUUGUAAACUCCUUUCGACAGGGACGCGGUACCUGGAUAAGAAGCACCGGCUAACUACGUGCCAGCAGCCGCGGUAAUAC